UAAGGAAUAUUGCCCAAUGGGAGAAAUCCUGAAGCAGCAACGCCGCGUGGAGGAUGAAGGGUCUAUGACUUGUAAACUCCUGUAAAGAAGGAAAAAAUUCCCAUUAGAUGGGAGAUGAUGGUACUUCUGGAGUAAGCCCCGGCUAACUACGUGCCAGCAGCCGCGGUAAUACGUAGGGGGCAAGCGUUGUCCGGAUUUACUGGGUGUAAAGGGUGCUUAGGCGGAUUUGUAAGUCAGAGGUGAAAUCUUACAGCUUAACUGUGAAACUGCCUUUGAUACUGCAAGCCUAGAGUAUGGAAGAGAGUGAUGGAAUAUCUGGUGUGGCAGUGAAAUGCGUAGAUAUCAGAUAGAACACCAAUGGCGAAGGCAGUCACUUGGUCCAUUACUGACGCUAAAGCACGAAAGCGUGGGUAGCAAACA
rnacentral:rRNA from 1 species